rnacentral:rRNA from 1 species
UCGAACGAGAAGCUAUCCUUCGGGAUAGUGGAAAGUGGCAGACGGGUGAGUAACGCGUGGGAACGUGCCUUUCGGUUCGGGAUAACUCAGGGAAACUUGGGCUAAUACCGAAUACGCCCUUCGGGGGAAAGAUUUAUCGCCGAAAGAUCGGCCCGCGUCGGAUUAGCUUGUUGGUGAGGUAAAAGCUCACCAAGGCGACGAUCCGUAGCUGGUCUGAGAGGAUGAUCAGCCACACUGGGACUGAGACACGGCCCAGACUCCUACGGGAGGCAGCAGUGGGGAAUAUUGGACAAUGGGCGAAAGCCUGAUCCAGCCAUGCCGCGUGGGUGAAGAAGGCCCUAGGGUUGUAAACCCCUUUCAGCGGGGAAGAUAAUGACGGUACCCGCAGAAGAAGCCCCGGCUAACUCCGUGCCAGCAGCCGCGGUAAUACGGAGGGGGCUAGCGUUGUUCGGAAUUACUGGGCGUAAAGCGCGCGUAGGCGGACUUUCAAGUCAGGGGUGAAAUCCCGAGGCUCAACCUCGGAACUGCCUUUGAUACUGUAAGUCUUGAGUCCGAGAGAGGUGAGUGGAAUUCCUAGUGUAGAGGUGAAAUUCGUAGAUAUUAGGAAGAACACCAGUGGCGAAGGCGGCUCACUGGCUCGGUACUGACGCUGAGGUG